CCCUUAGAUGUUCUGGGCCGCACGCGCGCUACAAUGGUCUUCGCAAACGGAUGCAUUCUCGAAGGAGAAUGCCAAUCUUGGAAUCUAUGCCUUGGUCGGGACAGUUGCUUGCAAUUUUUCGACUCGAACCAGGAAUUCCUUGUAAUCGUGAUUCAUCACAUCACGAUGAAUACGUCCCUGCCCUUUGUACACACCGCCCGUCGCUCCUACCGAUCGAAGAGUUAGGUGAAUUGUUUUGAUCGAUAAGAUUUGACUAUGGUCAACUCUCGUUGUGAAAUUCUGCGAAUCUGACUGUUUAGAGGAAGGAAAAGUCGUAACA
rnacentral:rRNA from 1 species